CACUUCUCCUCUGAUUAUACUGUUCUUGGGCUGCGAGCUACAUUUUAUGUCACAACUCCGUACAUACAUACUGUCAAGACAUAAGCAGGUUUUUAAAAAUAUUUUUUAAUUUAUUCAUGAGAGACGCAGAGAGAGAAGCAGAGAGAUAGAGGGAUAAGCAGGCUCCUCUCAUGGAGCCUAAUGUGGAGUCCAUCCCCAGACCAGGACCACACACGCCCUGAGCCAAAGGCAUUACUAAACUGCUGAGCCACCUGGGCGAGCCAACAUAAGCAGUUUCUAAGACAAACUUACUAUACAUUCUGAUUCUUUCUAUAUUGUUUAUAUUCAAAAAUAAUAUUUUGUGUUUUAGUGCUGGCUGUGACCUUCCUCACUCACUCAUUAGCCACUGCCUGCAAUGAGAAAGUCAGUGAGUUAGGUAACUUUGUUGGUUGGACUCGUGCAUUUAUUUGGUGUGAAUCAACUUGUAGGAUACAGCAGCUAGGAAAAUAGAAACACCUCUCUCUCCUCCUCCCCAGCAAAUGAUGCCUAUGAGACAAAGUCCAAAGGGGACCAAAGUAAACUGCUUCUGGAGAGAGUAAGGUGCUUCUGUGUUAUAGUUGCACAGUCUGUUCACUGCACGAGGGCACUUGGCCAUAGGCCCAGGUGAGCAGGAUGAAAAUCUUGCUUAUACUCAAUGCCAAGCCACAUACAAAGGCCUCCCCAGAGAAAUUGUGGGGCCAUUAUGGACAGACAUGGGAAAAUUCUGGAAGUGUAGCAUGCGUGGGAUUAUUUUCAGGAUCCGAGGUCUGUAGUGAUUUUGCUUCCUGUGAUUAUGGACUGAGAUGUCCUAAUAGGACCAGAGAUACACAUUGUGAGAGGCAUGGGAAAUGGCGUGAAUCACUAAUUGUCUGCAUAUGUGUUUCCUCCAAGGCUCUUCUUUAAUUCUCUGCUGUAUAAGAGAUGUUCAAUCCAACGGGAGAAUCAGGGCUUUUUCUGGAGAAGGCGGCCACUUUGGCUUCGGGACAUGUACAGACCUCUCAAUGCCACACGGAAGAAAAACAUGGCACAGAAGCUACACGACAGGGAUUCUUCUGAUGAGGAUGAGAUUUUCAACAAGGAACCAGGAGAGAAAGGUGGUGCCCCAGUAGAGAAGCCUCGGGCUGCAGAUUCAGCUGCUGAAGACCUGGGUGAGGAGAGCGACAGUGAACUCCGCACCGUCAUCGUCCUCAAGUGACUUUGUCCUGCCUCAGGCUGUCUAUAAAGUUUAUUUUUAUU